GCGGGGGACAAGCCCACACUGCUUGCUACUGUUGAAUUCCUGGCACACAGCUGUGUGUUGUUUUUUUGGGGGGGUGAGAGGGCUUAUUUGUUUUCCCAAUUACAGUUAGCAUUCAGUUUUGUCUUAGUUCCUGGGGGGAAUGAUAUCUUAAGUCCACUCUUGCCUUAGAACCAACAUGAGCAUAAGAAU